AGCGGAUUGGCAGAGAGGCCGAUUGCAGUGCUUUGCUAAAGCAUAGGAUGUAACAGUCCCACAGGUUCGAAUCCUGUAUCCGCUGCCA
rnacentral:tRNA from 1 species